CCUACGGGAGGCAGCAGUGAGGAAUAUUGGUCAAUGGGCGGGAGCCUGAACCAGCCAAGUCGCGUGAGGGAAGACGGUCCUAUGGAUUGUAAACCUCUUUAGGCGGGGAGCAAUGCCGGGCACGCGUGCACGGAGGGAGAGUACCCGCAGAAUAAGCAUCGGCUAACUCCGUGCGAGCAGCCGCGGUAAUACGGAGGAUGCGAGCGUUAUCCGGAUUUAUUGGGUUUAAAGGGUGCGUAGGCGGAUUUUUAAGUCAGCGGUAAAAUGUCCGGGCUCAACCCGGGCCGGCCGUUGAAACUGGGGAUCUUGAGUGGGCGAGAAGUAUGCGGAAUGCGUGGUGUAGCGGUGAAAUGCAUAGAUAUCACGCAGAACUCCGAUUGCGAAGGCAGCAUACCGGCGCCCGACUGACGCUGAGGCACGAAAGCGUGGGGAUCGAACAGGAUUAGAUACCCUUGUAGUC
rnacentral:rRNA from 1 species